rnacentral:rRNA from 1 species
UACGUAGGAGGCAAGCGUUAUCCGGAAUGACUGGGCGUAAAGGGUGCGUAGGUGGUUUGACAAGUUAGUAGCGUAAUUCCGGGGCUCAACUUCGGAACUACUACUAAAACUGUUGGGCUUGAGUGCAGGAGAGGUGAAUGGAAUUCCUAGUGUAGCGGUGGAAUGCGUAGAUAUUAGGAGGAACACCAGUGGCGAAGGCGGCCUGCUGGACGGUGUACUGACGCUGAGGCUCGAAAGCGUGGGGAGCAAACAGG